rnacentral:rRNA from 1 species
AACGAACGCUGGCGGCAUGCCUAACACAUGCAAGUCGAACGAGACCUUCGGGCCUAGUGGCGCACGGGUGCGUAACGCGUGGGAACCUGCCCUUAGGUUCGGAAUAACUCCCCGAAAGGGGUGCUAAUACCGGAUAAUGUCUUCGGACCAAAGAUUUAUCGCCUUUGGAUGGGCCCGCGUUGGAUUAGCGAGUUGGUAGGGUAAAAGCCUACCAAGGCGACGUUCCAUAGCUGGUCUGAGAGGAUGAUCAGCCACACUGGGACUGAGACACGGCCCAGACUCCUACGGGAGGCAGCAGUGGGGAAUAUUGGACAAUGGGCGAAAGCCUGAUCCAGCAAUGCCGCGUGAGUGAUGAAGGCCUUAGGGUUGUAAAGCUCUUUUACCCGGGAUGAUAAUGACAGUACCGGGAGAAUAAGCUCCGGCUAACUCCGUG